AGGACGAACGCUGGCGGCGUGCCUAACACAUGCAAGUCGAACGGAGUGAUAGAAGCUUGCUUCUGGAACUAGUGGCGGACGGGUGAGUAACACGUGAGUAACCUGCCUUCAGAGGGGAAUAAUGUUUGGAAACGGACACUAAUACCGCAUAACAUAUUUGAAUCGCAUGAUUGAGAUAUCAAAGGAGCAAUCCGCUGAAAGAUGGACUCGCGUCUGAUUAGCCAGUUGGCGGGGUAACGGCCCACCAAAGCGACGAUCAGUAGCCGGACUGAGAGGUUGAACGGCCACAUUGGGACUGAGACACGGCCCAGACUCCUACGGGAGGCAGCAGUGGGGGAUAUUGCACAAUGGGCGCAAGCUUGAUGCAAGCAACGCCGCGUGCAGGAAGACGGUCUUCGGAUUGUAAACUGUUGUCCUCUGUGACGAUAAUGACGGUAGCAGAGGAGGAAGCCACGGCUAACUACGUGCCAGCCGCCGC
rnacentral:rRNA from 1 species